GUGGGGAGAUGGGGUCUUCAGUCGCCGCAAAACUAAUAAUAGUACUUCCCCACAGUAUAAUUAGGAAUGGUGGCGCAGGCGCCUCUCUUCUGCAGCUGUGCGCAAGUUCCACCUUCGGUCACUGCACGGGCCGCAUGACGCAGCUUUGCGGGCCGGAUGUGGUCCGCGGGCCGUAGGUUGGGCAUCACUGUUCUAUGUAAAAAAAAAUUUGACAAAAAACAGCACGGCAGACAGCCUCGUUUAACCCUCUCGGUCAGACCAUCACUGCGGCCAGAAAGGGAAGAGGAUGAAUGACUCAAUUAGAGCAUCACACAUUACACUGGUAUGUGACGGAGAUGGUACCAGGAGCUGGGAUGCUCAAUGUGCUAUUGCCCACCAGGGAUAGAGAUGCUGCUGGAACCACUGACCACCAGGGACCAUUAUGCUGAAGGAAACCUAGAUCACUAGGGACCUGAUGCCUUACGUUAAAUCAUCACCAGAAUCUGUAUCCCGAAUUUACAAGAGUAGUGAAAAGGCACCAAAUUCACCCGUACCACUGACCACCAGGGUCCAUAUGCUGUAUAUACCCGCUGCUUGCUACACGUA